rnacentral:misc_RNA from 1 species
GAUGAAGAACGUAGCGAAAUGCGAUAAGUAGUGUGAAUUGCAGAACUCAGUGAAUCAUCGAAUCUUUGAACGCACAUUGCGCCCCUUGGUAUUCCAUGGGGCAUGCCUGCUCGAGCGUCAUUUGUACCUUCAAGCUUUGCUUGGUGUUGGGUGUUUGUCCUGAGGGACUCGCCUUAAAGUAAUUGGCAGCCAGUGUUUGGUUUUGAAGCGCAGCACAAGUCGCGAUUCAAGGCUAUACACCAGCUUCCACAAGCCUUUUUCACUUUUGACCUCGGAUCAGGUAGGGAUACCCGCUGAACUUAAGCAUAUCAAUAAGCGGAGGA